rnacentral:sRNA from 1 species
GCCAGGUAUGGUGGCGUGUGCCUGUAAUCCCAGCAGCUUGGGAAGCUGAGGCAGGAGGAUAUCAAGUUCAAAGCCAUUUGGUGAGGCCCUAAGCAACUCAGUGAGACCCAGUCUCUU